rnacentral:lncRNA from 1 species
AAAAAAAAUCUUCAAAAGCAACGCCUUCAAGAAGCAAACAAUGCACAGGCAUUAUUGUUGCCCGAUCAAAGAUCUUAGAUUUUCAUCCAUGAGAAAAUCCUAGUUCAACCAAAACGAUGCCUUCAACAAGAUCACUGUUAGGUACAACCAAUCAAAACCAGACCUUCGGUUUUCAUCCUCGAGAUCAAAACUUGAUACUCGAGGAGCAGCAUAAAAAUGCAAUACUCCAGUGUUACCGCCUCCGCUUGUCGAGGCCGUUGUUACAACUCACAAAGGGAUGCAUGAAAUAAGUUAGUUAUAGUUACUUGUCUGGCUAUACCCUAUCUACUCCUAGUUGUUCUUGGGCGGGUGGUACCGUGGUCUAUGGUAACCAGCGGUGAAGGGUAUGUGGCCAUCAAAGUAAGCACCCGGACGGAGUCUCCUACUGCUAAAAUAAAAGUCCAUACUCGAAUACUUCCUUCAUGCCCACAUUUCCCAAACAAACCAUUUACACUUGAGCUUGUCAUGCUUCUAUCAUCCGACGCCAGAGAGGAGCCUAGCAAGCAAAACAAUCAUAUUGUUUUUACUGAGUAUUUCUUUUCUUGAGUUAUCAUAAGCGCCACCCCGAAGAAAGUUGCGGGGAUACACCCCGAUCCUCUUUCCCCACUACCCUCCCGCAUCGCUCCCGCAGGCGACAGGGAGGGAACCCUAGCCGCCGCCGGCCUUUUCCCCUCCUCCCGCCCCUUCCUCCCCCGCCACCGCCAUAGAGUGCGCCCAGGCAAAGCCUGGUCGACACUAGCGGCAGCGGGCCUCCUCGUCCCCUCGCCUGUGGCGUCGGUGUGGGCCGCGUCCAUGGGCCAGGGCCUGUCUCUUAUACACAUCUCCGAGCCCACGAGACCUCUAGGUUAUCUCGUAUGCCGUCUUCUGCUUGAAAAAAAAAAAAUUCAUAACAGAAGAAGUAAAGANGGCUUGACCGUGGUGCAGGUGGAGCGGGUUCGUGGGGGCGGCGACGCUCUAUGGUGGUCGUGCCCCCAUCGACGGUGCAGCGUGGCGGAUGUGAUCCUCCUUCUCCUCGGUCUAGAAUGGCUAUGACCGGGGGCGCGUGCUCGGGAGGAUCUGAUCGGGGCCCGAGGCGUGUCGGAGUUGCUACUCCGGGUAGGUGUGAUUAGGCUCGAUCCGGGAUGUACAAGCGGUUGGCGAGGUCCCUCCCUCCGUUGGUACGGUGUUCGUUGGUGGUGGUCGGGACUUCACGGUACUGUCGGGCAACACGGAGUCGAGGGCCACAGAUAUGGCGUUGUCCGAGUGUAGUCGGCGACGGCCGUCGGGAAUCAGGGAGGUGUGUCUCCCCUAGUCUGCCGAGAUUGGCUGGGGACACAGGGUUGGGCCCCUACUGUGGUGGCGCCGGACCAACCUCUGUGGCUCAUGCCGGGCUAGGAGUGAAAUCUGUGGACUUUCGCUCUUCCUACCAUGGCAGGUACUCUCUGGUGUGGGCAGUGGGUGAGGUCCUGGACUUGGAUGCCGGAGCGGCAGCUCCGGAGGGUGGGUCGCUUGGUUGGCUCUUUGGCGGGCGCCGUGUCAGCGAUGGUGGCUUCCUUCUUGGUUCGUGCGGGCGACGAGAGGGGUAGCAGUUGGUGGCUCGGGCGCGUCCUCUGCUGGACGUCGCCCAGAUCUGGAUCUGGGGUAUGGGCAUGCCACGCCUGCCCUAGGGUCGCGGUGACUUUGGAUGGGGUGCCGAGCCAAAGCUCCGCGCUUUUGUGCCGGCGACGGCGACGCUUGCGGGCGCCGUUCUCUUCUUGAAGAAGUCGAUGUGGAUCUCCUCUCCGUGUCAGGUUUCCGGGUGAAGACCCUUGCCCGGUGGGGCUAGGCAGCGACGACGCUCUGCGUCGUUCUCCCUCUUGUGGGCGUUGUCUAGGAGCUUAGGGGUCCUAUGGUGUUUCGUGAUUGUGCUCCAUUCUUCUUGUAUUCUCCUUUGAUAGUGUUGUUGUUCUGCUUCGCGGUUCGGCUAGGAUCUGCUUUGUAAGAGGGUCAUCUCACCAUCAUGUAUCGUUCAGCUGUGUACUUUGUGCGGUUUGUGCCUUUAUCUAUAGAGGGGGGCGAAUGCCUGUUUCGAGAAUAUUUAUUUUCUUCUUUUUUAUCUUUUCUUCGGUUUUCUUUGUUGCAUUCUUUUGUUUUCUUAGUGUUUUUUUCUCGGUUUUCAUCGUUUCCAUUCUCAGAAUAGGAGCAUUUUUUAUACAUGAUUAACAUUUUUUAAAGAAAUGAAAAUUUCUAUGUACAUGUGAAACAUUUUUUGUGUACAUGUUGAACAUUUUCUAAGUACAUGAUUUUUUUAAUAUAUGUUCUGAUGUAUAUUUUCUUGUUCAUACACAUUAUAUAUUUUUGGUAUACAUAGCAAACUUUUUUAUCCCUCUAACAGUUGUCAAAUACAUGAUUAAUAUUUUUUCACAUAUUUUUUUAUAUAAGCUUUUUAUCAUACAUGUUAUUCAUUUUCAGAUACAUCCGGAACAUUUUGUUACACGUUUAAAUUUUUUUACGGGCACCUGGGCACAAAUGCUCCUAGUGUGAACAGUAAAAAAUAUUCCAAAAAAUAGAUUUUUUUAUGAAAUACUUUAAGAAAUGUUUGUUGUGCAUGCAAAAAAUUUAUCAUAAAAUCAUAUUGAUGGAAGGCGUGGUAAAAAAAUUGAUGCUCUGAAAAUGUUACUUUCAAAUGCAUGUUGGAUGUUUGAUAAAAAUUUUCACAACUUCCACGAAUAUGAUUUCGUGAUGAAUUUUUGCAUGCACAAUAAAAAAAAUUAAAUUUCGGCACAAAAAAGUCAUAAUUUUUUGAAAUCUUUUUCUAUUUUUAGUUGUACUGUUCACGGCAUGAGCAUUUUAGCUCAGGUGUAGAAAGGUACUAUCGAUUUAAGGACCGUCUUAUUAUUGUUUCUCAUGCAAGAGUAUAUGUCGUAAAAUCAAGUGAUCAUUCAAUUUUCGUGCUUUGUGUCCUUUUCAAUAGGGAAGAAAAAGAUGAACUGAAAACUUCAUGCAGUGAGUAGUUCAAUGUCAGUUACAUGAGGAACAGUAAGAACCUCAUGACCAUGAUGUCCAACUUAUAAAUACUCCCGUUCAGGUCUAGCUUGUUCAAGACUUGCUCGCGAAUGCCAAAACAACCAACCGAGAACUCUGGAAUAUUGGAGAAAAACAAGAGAUGAUGAGCUAUCCCAGCAAUUUAAGCACAAGAUGUAAGCACAAGAUGUCGCUUAGCAUUUGGAUUCAAAGGGUUACCCCGGACAAGAAGAGUCCUCCUCGGAGCUUCUAUACACGGUGUGUGAGUAGUCAGAUAAUUUUUUUCUACUCGGCCGACAUGCACCCAACGCAUGCAGGGUGGGAGAAAAUAAUGAAGUGGCUGGAGAAUACCUUGAGAGAUUUCAUAGAAGAUAGAUUAGGACUAGCUUAGACUAUAGCUGUCCUGGAUUCUCAAAAUUUAUAUUAUAUAUUUGCAUCCUUUUCUGGAAAUUAUCUUUAGAAUUAGUAAUUAAUGUCUUUCAUCUGUCACGUGCGUAUGUUUUUCAUCCACCUCGAUGUACCUAACCUCACCAUGAUAUCAUGGGUAGCGAGGACACCCAGCACAAAGGAGAACACACCGCGGGAGAGUCUCCCCGGCUAGCCUCGACUGAAUCCACCUCUGAGUUUGACGCAUGUAGACUGCUAUGUGUAUUUCCACAUGAAGGUGGAGGUGUAAUUUCAUAGUGACCUUUAUCUAUCUCAAGAAUCAACCAUUAAUGUUGUUUUUUAUGUCUUCUGCAUUGAGGGCAAGAGGACAUUCAAAUUCAAGAGAAGAUGUCAAUGCAUCAAUUCAUUAACCGAUCCAAUUUCUUUGCUGAGAAAUAUUAUUGUGAAGUCAAGCCGGUGGGAAGUGGAAGGUUGAAAAAGUUGCUGCAAAAACUUCACCCUUUCUCAAGUGAGACCAUUUAUUUUAGGGGACUGUUAGGCGUCCACCCACGGAUGCGCGUUAUACAUCUGUCAUCUCGUUGGCCAUUGGAUCUACACGUAGGCAGCCGUCGAUCGCUUGUCAUGUUCCGCUCCACUACAGGAAUCAGACCCUUUGACGUCUGCCUGCCAUAGCAGACGACAAAGGCCUUUGCC